CUGGUGGUGUGCUAACUGGAGUAACAGCCGCUGCUGGUGGUGAGCUAACUGGAGUAACAGCCGCUGCUGGUGGGGUAGCCACUGGAGCUGGAACAGCCUGUUUUGAUGGUGCAGUUGCUGGUGGUGAAGAUACAGGAGCUGCUACUGGAGUUGUAGGUUUUGCCGGUGGUGAAGAUACAGGAGCAGCUACUGGAGCUUCAGGUUUUGCUGGUGCUUUGGCGGGAGCCGUUACAGGUUUUGCCGGAGUUGUUGUUGGUGCUGCGGACGGAGAUUGGCCACCGACACCAGCCACAAUGAGGCAUAUUAAAGCUAUCUUAAGCACAC
rnacentral:lncRNA from 1 species